rnacentral:misc_RNA from 1 species
UCGGAACUCGCUGAUGCA